UACGGGGGGGGCAAGCGUUGUUCGGAAUUACUGGGCGUAAAGGGCUCGUAGGCGGCCAACUAAGUCGGACGUGAAAUCCCCAGGCUCAACCUGGGAACUGCGUCCGAUACUGGAAGGCUUGAGGAUGGGAGAGGGAUGUAGAAUUCCAGGUGUAGCGGUGAAAUGCGUAGAUAUCUGGAGGAAUACCGGUGGCGAAGGCGGCAUCCUGGACCAUUACUGACGCUGAGGCGCGAAAGCUAGGGGAGCAAACGGG
rnacentral:rRNA from 1 species